UUCUCUUUGUGCAUUUCUUCUGUUACCAAGUAGCAAAAGUUCUCUGAAGCCACAGAACUAAAUCUUUCCACCUGUGCAACCUCACAGGAAUAUGCAUUGUAAUGGAUUUACCCAUUUCUUCUUCAUGCAACCUUGCAGCAUUUUGAAAAAGAAAUUGUGUCAGCAAAAAUCAAUGGAUGCCAUGAGAAAAGGAAUUGUAAUUUGUCACGUUGACCCACAGAAUCCUCAAAUUCCUGAGAAUUCCCUGUCAACACGCUCUGAAAAAAACCACGCAGCUGAGCAGCAGAACACCACUCCAUGGGAUACCUGCCCAGAAUAUUCUGAGAGAAUCUUUUAAUUAAACUUAAAGAAAAUAAUGUAGAACGACAUUGCAUGAAACAUGGUUACUACAUUUCAGAGAUGAGCAAAACAGAAGGUAGCAGAUGGUAUGAAGAGGAUAUAUGUGAAGAGAUGUAAAUAGUAGGAAACCUCACAAAAUCAAAAACGUAAGGCAGAACUGAAAGUGUGUGCAAGACCCCUGGGAGAGCUGAGGAGAUGAAGCAACAACUGAGCUGAAAGAUACCAGACUUUCCUUACUCAGAAAUGACAAAACACCAAGAGGAAGCUCUAAUCUAGCAGAAGGAAAGACCCAUCGUAACGAGGGGAGUCGAGACUGUUGUGAAGGGUCCUUAAGGUAAAUAUGGAAGGAGGGGAGGAAACAAGGACAGCAUUGCAGGUGCCAACAAAUAUAUUCAUCAAACACUCUUUGAAUCAAAAAGAACUCUCUCAACCCCAAACUAUUUCAGAACUGUAAUCAAUAAGUAAUGAAGACAUUAUAAAGGAGCUAAUAGUAGAAAAUAACCUUGUAUUGAACAAAGACAAGAUGAAUUGUUUAAAUUAGGCAGAAGAUCAAACAAAGAGCAGCUUGGUAACUAAUCAGAAGAGUUCUAAUCAUCCUAAACAGCCGCAGCAUUACGAUGGGGUUAGGAAGGUUAGGAAGAGACAGAACCUGCACUCCAAGUCACAUGAAUUGCUGUGGCUGCACAGACUGGUAGUCCUGUCCGAUAAAGCCUGAAAAAUGAGUGAGCAAAUUAUGACGUAUCUGCAUAUCAUAGCAGAGUCUGGUGAAGACCAAGAAGGUCCUUCUAAUCUUUUGAUAAAGAAGUUAUCAAUAACAGACCGAUACUGUCAAAUGGAAGCCACCAAAUACUGCUUUGAUGUAGAGGGUAUUUAAGGGCAAAGGGAGGCACACUUGAGAAGUGGGGCUUAGUCGACGACUGCUGUUCAGUUGAAGGAAUAGUUGGAAAAUGGUAACUAUUCUAAACAUUUAUAUUUCAAAUAGUUGUUAGAAAUUAGAAAAAAAAACAACCCACAGUUGCUUCCUCUUUUUGUGGAGGAUUUCUUCUGGCCAGUGACAGGCCCGCGGAAUUUACCCCUAAUUUAUGAAGCUGUCAGAAUUAAACCCAAUGAAUAUUCUACCAAAUACGAGAAGUAAGGGGAAGGAGAAGCUAGUGACCUGGUGUUACAAAAGCACCUAGCACCGGCAUUCGGAAGUCAAAGAGCAUUUUCUUUCUUUCUUUGCACCAAAAAUACUGCCAUCUUAAAGAUAUCUUUACACAUCUCUGUCUCCAACAGAAAAGCCAGAAACUGCAAUGAGAGGGAUACUGAUAUGGAGAUGGCAAGGGUGCAGAGUUUGGUUGACAAGUCUCGGGAACUGCAAAGAGGAACGGCUGGGCCACUGACUGUCUUAACACAGUUAACACAUCUGUUUACUAAUCACCAAAGGUUAAACUCAGUUAAUAAAACCUGGGAAGCUGAAGAGCUGCUGAUUUCUGAAGUGGCCCUUCCAUGCAGCUGCACAGACUACGGCAUCAGCACCAGGAAGUAACAUACCUUGUUCUGUGAACCGAGAGAGUGUGUGCCGAGAUGACAGCAAACUGCCCAGCAACCUGUCUCCAGCUCGUGAAAAAUAUCAUUGCGUUCUGAGCAUCAGAAAAAGCGUAACAGAGAGAAAAUGGCAGCGCCGUAUGCAAAGGACAACAUUGAAGAAAUAUGGGAGAACUAUCUAAAUACACUGCACGAUUGCUGAGCCCACAGAAGUCAGCCUUGUGGUGUCCCUCCAUCAUGAAGAUGCACUUGGUGACAGGUGGCUCACUCUGUCUCAUGCCAAGUGUCUUUCCAUAGCAGAACACCACAAAGUUCACUGAGUCUAAAUCACAACUAUUCUCAUUUUGUAUCUUCUUCUGCCGCAAGUUCAAUUUGUCUAGGUGAUUUAUGAGGUGAACUCCAGCUAUGCAAGCCUCCUCUCCUUCUGAAUGGAGGAACAAUUCAGAUAAGAAACAAAUCUCUUCUGAGUUAAUAGAAGAAACUGGACUUAACCGCAUUUACUAAGGUAUUUAUUACACAUCUAGGCCAGAUGAAGCUAAGCACAUUUAAUACAUGUAAAACUGCAGAUAGCUGCUAGGAAGAGCAGGAAACAAACACAACAGAUUCACAAGUUUCUUAAUAAUUUAAAUGAAGCCACUAAAGUAACAGAGAAGCAAGAGUUGCUGGCAAUACAACAGAUAUCUAUCAAUUCCAGCUUGUUGCUUACAGCAACACACACGCCUUGAGAAGCAGUUGGCUCCAUGUCCCCUUGGAUACCCUCGGGCUGAGGGACUGCUAAAUUGUAAUCAAUGUGAAUGCAUAACCCCCAACAGGCCCUGCGUUACUUUCGCGGCUGUUGAUUUCAUAAAUUGUCUUGAGGUUCUCUGUCAUCAACAACACUCUAUAUAAUUACAGAAAAAACUGCAACUUACAGGCCUGGUCCUGUGAGCGAUGGAUGUUCUUUGAUGACUCAGCUGUUCGUGGGGGAUCAUCAGCACUUUGUAGAUGGGAGGCCAAUGCUAAGAGAUAAUUUGCAAGAAAUAAAUAGCUAUGGUAUAACUUCAACUUAUCAUUAUGGAAAAGACCAUGCGCAGAAUUCUUAAAAUGCAAUGAAAUCACAGAAUUAAAAUUUUUAAGCGUAAAAACCAUUAUUAAGUCAUCCAAGUCCAUUUACAAUUAUUGAUGGUAAAUCCAUCUACUCCAGAUGGGAAGAGGUCACUCUCUUCUUUUUCCAGGGCAAGUCUAUGAAUAAUUUGAGUGAUUAAAGCUCAAAGCAGGUGUGAAAAUGAAAAAGACCAGGAAAGCAUAUGGGAAGGAAACCACACGCACAUGAAGAUACUUAGCUUUCAUUCUGGAAUCAAAAAAGGCACCCUCCAUUCUCCCCAGCCCGUACAGCCACAAAAUACAGACGAGUUUGUACAUUUUUUCCAAAAGAGUUGUCACUUUUAAAGGCACAUCGAAAUCUUAUUUUUACUUUUUAGGUCUUCCUCCUUCUAUCAGAGAUGACCUAAAUUUUGAGCUGAAGCAUUCACAGGAUCCUUGCUUGGAAUAUAAAACAACAGCAAAAACAUCAGGCUGCAAAAGAGGCAAAAUAAUAGGAGGGAAAAUUACAGUGAAGACCUCCCUGAAUAACAGGAGGUCACAAACACUGCAGAAAUAGAUGCUGAAGUAGUACUAUCCAGAGACAGUGGACACAAAGUGAUUGCAUUUACAGCAACCUAGCAGAAGACAGGUGGGCAGGAUGUGAAUCUAAGCAAACGGCCACAGUUCUGGGAAUACCCAACAGUUCUCAAAAUUUCCCCUCAAAUAUAUUGCUGUAUUCUUUGUGCAAAAAAUAUCAGACACACCAAAAUCCAAGCGUCUCCUCUUAAGAAAGAAAAAAACCCCAAAAACCAACAAACUUGAAAGCUUACUAGGAAAGUAUUCAAAUGGAAUUAAACAGCUGCAGAAAGGGGUAGAGGCUAUAUUUUAUAUGCCAAAGAGAAAAAUGUAUGGAAAACACAUAUACGACAAGGUAAACAGUAGUAUAGACUACUGAACAUUCAUGAAGCUCAUUAUUAAAAAAAAAAACAACAAAACCCAUACUUGCAGAUACAUUUAUUGUUUUAUUUUAUCAUCUUAAGCAGUCAACAGAAACUGAGAUUAUAAUCUGUGCCUUUUUAAAAUUCCAUUCAACAGAUGUUCAUAAACAGACUUGAGCCAAAUUUCAGCUCCCCAAAAGGAUAUUCAGCCAGAGAACUUUUACAAAUGGAUGAUAAAGUCCCGCUUUUUCCCUUGUAAUGAUUGCUUUUCUGAGACAUCAAAUCCUCUCUUAGCCUCAUUACAAGUUCCCACCAGCAUAAAACAUAUUUUUCAUUUCCAUUUCCUAUAGUAUUGUUUUCCAAAAAUGGCAUUGACGUUCCCAACACAAGAGAACUCUCCUUCAUUCCUUUUUUUAUGUCAUCUCCUCAAUACAGUAUGAAGUGAUUGUCUCGGGGACAAGGCUCUGUUCUUUUAAAAAGAGGGGAAAAAAAUCCAACUGGUACUAAUAAAUAUUUACUUAAUGUAAAGAAAAAGGCAUUCAACAAUUAGGUAUGAAAAUUACAGAAAAAAAAAUUGGGUGUUUGGAAAGGCAAAACUGUAAGAAGUUCAGUCCGUUUUACAGGAAUGACUACUCAAUAGCUCCUUUUGGGACACAGUGAGAUUGCUUCUUUAAAAGUAUGCUCUAGAAAUACCCCCAAAUCACAGAAAUUUUAAGUCACUUGAGGAUUUAAGAUGCAAUAUAAAAUUAAGAAAUAUCAGGACACAUAAUGGAAAUGGUGGACUGGAAACAGUGUUGCACUUACUUGCUUAUGUUAAAAGGGGAAGGAGGGGGCUGAAGGGAAAGGUUUUAUUUUUACUUAAUUACUCUCAGUGUUCGCUGGGGACUCCUUCCACAAUGUAUUUUAUAUUUGGGCCUAAAUGGAAGCAGGAUUCAGCCUUGAUCUUACUCCUUAUGACAAUAUGUUUCUUAAAUUAGAAGUCCCAUAACUAGAAUGUUGACACCACUGCUAAUGUUCCUCCAGCACCUGAGAGUCUCUUAUCUGUUACCAAUCAAUUAAUCCUGGAAGCAGUUAGCAUAGGGAAAGAAAGAGAUUGUUUAAAAUAAAUAAAUCCAGAAAAUA